UACGGAGGGGACUAGCGUUGUUCGGAAUUACUGGGCGUAAAGCGCACGUAGGCGGAUUUGUAAGUCAGGGGUGAAAUCCCGAGGCUCAACCUCGGAACUGCCUUUGAUACUGCAAAUCUCGAGUCCGGAAGAGGUGAGUGGAAUUCCUAGUGUAGAGGUGAAAUUCGUAGAUAUUAGGAAGAACACCAGUGGCGAAGGCGGAACUCUGGGCCGGAACUGACGCUGAGGAGCGAAAGCGUGGGGAGCGAACAGG
rnacentral:rRNA from 1 species